GCCCGGGUGGCGGAACGGCAGACGCGGGGCACUCAAAAUGCUCUGCCCGAAAGGGCGUGCGGGUUCGACUCCCGCCCCGGGCA
rnacentral:tRNA from 1 species